UCAUGUCCGACCCAUCACGACCCCAUGGACAACAUUCCUCCAGGUCUUCCUGUCCUCUGCCAUCCUCUGGAGUUUGUUAUAACAUCCAACCUGUGAGAGAGGAGGGGUCAAGUGCAGACCAAACCUGGAAUCACUGCACAACUGCAAAAGAGCUAUGGCUGACCACAUCUGCUCCAGUUUCUCGAAACCUUAUCUAAUUGUUCCCAGGAGUAUACUGCCAUCCUGGGGAGAUACCUGUAUUUUAGGCAAAACAUAAUGAGCUUAAAAGAAAGCUGACCAUGCUGGAGUACUGAUUUUUCCAGCUAAAUCAGCAUAUUCUCCUUGGCUUGUCCUUGCAAUGAGAGCAAAGCAUGACUAUAUUGGGAAUUGUAUCAUCUGAAGAGGGACAUCUUUAGUUUCUGAUAAAAUUCUUGGAACAUGAGAAUUUUUAAACUCAUUAAUCUGUAUCCUUGCUACAGUGAGAUACUUGUGCAGUUUUUACACAAUCAUCUGCAUUCCACUGCAAAACCUUGGAAUAUCCAUAUUCCUCAUUAAAAUGAUAGGAGAUUCUCAUUUCAGUUCCAGUUUAUGUAAAAACUGCUGGAGUGACCAGAAGAGAUCAAAUCAGAAAUAAUACUAUAAGAGAAAGAAUUGGCAUAGAACCAAUCUUAAAUUGCAUACAACAAUAGCAAAUAAAGUGGUUUGCACACCUGAAGAGGAUAACAUGGGAUUCCAUACCAUACAAGGCAUAUACAAAAAGAGAAGAAGGCCAAAGGACGCUUGGCUGACCCAUGAGUAGAUGGAGAAACAACUUCAAAGACACACUGCAACAACAUCAAUUAACAAUGGUUGAGGCCAUCAGAAGAGCAAAAGCCAGAAUUUUGUAUCUUCUCUAUACCCAAAGAAGAAGAAGAAUACAGAGAGCUCAAUUUAAUCAAAGAAUUUUGUUGGCAGAUGAUUAGCAUUAGCUACUUCACUGUCAACACUAAGGAUGAAUAUUCUUUAUAAUGCUAGGAAAGUGUCUAUUCCAUCUGGAAUUGGUUUUUCUUGACAUUUGAUUGAGGGGGAAAUAAGACUGAGUUCUUUUUGAGAACAGUUUUGUAGCAUUUUCAAAUGUUGGGCAGACAGAAUCUAUUCCUUCUUCCAUAGUUCUUGCUGUUGAAACCAUAUCUUCAGGGUAAUUCUAUUUCAUCAUUUUGACUUUUCAUCAUUUUGUCUUCUGCAACAUCCAGUAAGAAUUUAAAAUAUCUGCCUUCUCCCUCACUCAAUCAAGUGUUUCUCUUCAAAUGAAACUUGACAAAAUGUCUCCAUAAGUAUGAUUUUUUUUUUAAUGCAUGAAUUCUCCAUGUCAGUGUCAUUUCCUCUUUUCACCACUGGUAGAACUGACAAAAAUUGGACAGAACCCCUAAAGGCCUCAUUUUUACCACACAUAUAUUGUGAGGAACCUGAUUUAUACCUUCAAAGCUUCUCCUAAUCCUGGGGCUUUCAUCCCUGACAAUAUAUCUUGCAUGUUGAAGCACAUUUGCAGUACUGAAGAGUUUUUUAAUGUUAUACAGAACAUUUUCAUUCAUUCUGAAGGAUAUCUUGAAUCUUGUCUGUGCUGUCCUAUCAGCAGGCAUCAAUGUUGAUGCAAAACCAAAUUAUGCUACAGCAAUAGCAACAUUUCCAUCUAUCCAAACUUUAGCAAGGAUCAAGCUGGUAACAAAUGCCUUUCCUGUUCCUCCUAGUGCAUCAAUGAAAAUUAUUGAA